rnacentral:rRNA from 1 species
CCUACGGGGGGCAGCAGUGGGGAAUUUUGGACAAUGGGCGCAAGCCUGAUCCAGCAAUGCCGCGUGCAGGAUGAAGGCCUUCGGGUUGUAAACUGCUUUUGUACGGAACGAAACGGUGAGCUUUAAUACAGUUUGCUAAUGACGGUACCGUAAGAAUAAGCACCGGCUAACUACGUGCCAGCAGCCGCGGUAAUACGUAGGGUGCGAGCGUUAAUCGGAAUUACUGGGCGUGAAGCGUGAGCAGGAGGUUAAAUCCCCGGGCUCAACCUGGGACCUGCAUUUGUGACUGUAUAGCUAGAGUACGGUAGAGGGGGAUGGAAUUCCGCGUGUAGCAGUGAAAUGCGUAGAUAUGCGGAGGAACACCGAUGGCGAAGGCAAUCCCCUGGACCUGUACUGACGCUCAUGCACGAAAGCGUGGGGAGCAAACAGGAUUAGAUACCCGUGUAGUC